rnacentral:snRNA from 1 species
GUGCUCAGUUUGGCAGCACAUAUACAAAAAUUAGAAUGAAACAGAGAAGAUGGGCAUGGCCCCCUGUGCAAGGGUGACAUGCGAAUUCGUGAAGUGUUCCAUAUAAAA